UACAGAGGGUGCAAGCGUUGUUCGGAAUCAUUGGGCGUAAAGGGCGUGUAGGCGGUUUGUUAAGUCAUGUGUGAAAUCCCUCGGCUCAACCGGGGAACUGCGUCUGAGACUGGAAGGCUUGAAUCCGGGAGAGGGAUGUGGAAUUCCAGGUGUAGCGGUGAAAUGCGUAGAUAUCUGGAGGAACACCGGUGGCGAAGGCGGCAUCCUGGACCGGUAUUGACGCUGAGGCGCGAAAGCCAGGGGAGCAAACGGG
rnacentral:rRNA from 1 species